GACGGAGGAUGCAAGCGUUAUCCGGAAUGAUUGGGCGUAAAGCGUCUGUAGGUGGCUAUGUAAGUCUGCUGUCAAAGCGUCUGGCUCAACCAGAUAAAGGCAGUGGAAACUACAUAGCUAGAGUAAGGUAGGGGUAGAGGGAAUUCCUGGUGUAGCGGUGAAAUGCGUAGAGAUCAGGAAGAACACCGGUGGCGAAAGCGCUCUGCUGGACCUUAACUGACACUGAGAGACGAAAGCUAGGGGAGCGAAUGGG
rnacentral:rRNA from 1 species